rnacentral:rRNA from 1 species
UACAGAGGGGGCAAGCGUUGUUCGGAAUUACUGGGCGUAAAGGGCGCGUAGGCGGCCUUCUAAGUCGAACGUGAAAUCCCCGGGCUCAACCCGGGAACUGCGUCCGAUACUGGAAGGCUUGAAUCCGGGAGAGGGAUGCGGAAUUCCAGGUGUAGCGGUGAAAUGCGUAGAUAUCUGGAGGAACACCGGUGGCGAAGGCGGCAUCCUGGACCGGCAUUGACGCUGAGGCGCGGAAAGCCAGGGGAGCAAACGGG